GGAAGACUUGUAGCUCAGCAGUAGAGCAUUUGCUUUGCAUGCAUAAGGUCCCAGGUUCAAUAUCUGGCAUCUCCA